rnacentral:rRNA from 1 species
AAUCAACGCUGGCGGCGUGCCUCAGACAUGCAAGUCGAACGCGAAAGGUUCCUUCGGGAACCGAGUAGAGUGGCGCACGGGUGAGUAACACGUAGGUAAUUUGCCUUUGGGUGGGAAUAACAGCCGGAAACGGCUGCUAAUACCGCAUAAUGCAGCGGCUCGACAUCGAGACAGUUGUUAAAGCGGGGAUCGCAAGACCUCGCGCCUAAAGAGAAGCCUGCGGCAGAUUAGCUAGUUGGUAGGGUAAUGGCCUACCAAGGCGACGAUCUGUAACCGGCCUGAGAGGGCGGUCGGUCACACUGACACUGAC